UGAGUAAUGUCUGGGAAACUGCCUGAUGGAGGGGGAUAACUACUGGAAACGGUAGCUAAUACCGCAUAACGUCUUCGGACCAAAGUGGGGGACCUUCGGGCCUCACACCAUCGGAUGUGCCCAGAUGGGAUUAGCUAGUAGGUGGGGUAAUGGCUCACCUAGGCGACGACCCCUAGCUGGUCUGAGAGGAUGACCAGCCACACUGGAACUGAGACACGGUCCAGACUCCUACGGGAGGCAGCAGUGGGGAAUAUUGCACAAUGGGCGCAAGCCUGAUGCAGCCAUGCCGCGUGUAUGAAGAAGGCCUUCGGGUUGUAAAGUACUUUCAGUGGGGAGGAAGGCGUUAAGGUUAAUAGCCUUGGCGAUUGACGUUACCCGCAGAAGAAGCACCGGCUAACUCCGUGCCAGCAGCCGCGGUAAUACGGAGGGUGCAAGCGUUAAUCGGAAUUACUGGGCAUAAAGCGCACGCAGGCGGUCUGUCAAGUCGGAUGUGAAAUCCCCGGG
rnacentral:rRNA from 1 species